rnacentral:rRNA from 1 species
AGGAAUAUUGGUCAAUGGGCGAGAGCCUGAACCAGCCAAGUAGCGUGAAGGAUGACUGCCCUAUGGGUUGUAAACUUCUUUUAUAAAGGAAUAAAGUCGGGUAUGGAUACCCGUUUGCAUGUACUUUAUGAAUAAGGAUCGGCUAACUCCGUGCCAGCAGCCGCGGUAAUACGGAGGAUCCGAGCGUUAUCCGGAUUUAUUGGGUUUAAAGGGAGCGUAGAUGGAUGUUUAAGUCAGUUGUGAAAGUUUGCGGCUCAACCGUAAAAUUGCAGUUGAUACUGGAUAUCUUGAGUGCAGUUGAGGCAGGCGGAAUUCGUGGUGUAGCGGUGAAAUGCUUAGAUAUCACGAAGAACUCCGAUUGCGAAGGCAGCCUGCUAAGCUGCAACUGACAUUGAGGCUCGAAAGUGUGGGUAUCAAACAGGAUUAGAUACCCUGGUAGUCCACACGGUAAACGAUGAAUACUCGCUGUUUGCGAUAUACAGCAAGCGGCCAAGCGAAAGCGUUAAGUAUUCCACCUGGGGAGUACGCCAGCAACGGUGAAACUCAAAGGAAUUGACGGGGGCCCGCACAAGCGGAGGAACAUGUGGUUUAAUUCGAUGAUACGCGAGGAACCUUACCCGGGCUUAAAUUGCAGAUGAAUUACGGUGAAAGCCGUAAGCCGCAAGGCAUCUGUGAAGGUGCUGCAUGGUUGUCGUCAGCUCGUGCCGUGAGGUGUCGGCUUAAGUGCCAUAACGAGCGCAACCCUUGUUGUCAGUUACUAACAGGUUUCGCUGAGGACUCUGACAAGACUGCCAUCGUAAGAUGUGAGGAAGGUGGGGAUGACGUCAAAUCAGCACGGCCCUUACGUCCGGGGCUACACACGUGUUACAAUGGGGGGUACAGAGGGCCGCUACCACGCGAGUGGAUGCCAAUCCCAAAAACCUCUCUCAGUUCGGACUGGAGUCUGCAACCCGACUCCACGAAGCUGGAUUCGCUAGUAAUCGCGCAUCAGCCACGGCGCGGUGAAUACGUUCCCG